GGGCGGCGGAGCCUGCUGAUGCGGCGGAGCUGGCGGCCGGUGCUGGUGGCGAUCCCGGAGGGAGAGGGCCGGCCGGAGCUCGCCGUCAUCGAGGAGUAAACAAAGCUUCAACAACCGCAGAACAGAAGGGAUCAGGCAGAACGGAUCAAGAACACCCAGAAGCGGACAUGGAAUUCCUCCUCUUCUUCUUCUUUCUCCUUGCUCUGUUUCUUUCUCGCCUCUUCUUUCUUUUUUUACUAGCUUUUACCCGCUUUUGUUUGUUUUAGGAGAUUUGCCGCUGUGAAUAUGGAAUACUACCAAAUCACCCCUGCCAAUUAAAUCUCAUCCCAAAUUGCACCCUACUCUGCAUGCAUCGCAAGCUCACCAUUUCUCUCCUCGAACUGCGAGGAGGCCACGGUGAUCUCGUCAGUACCACCACCAGCAGCAGAGUCAUCAAUCAUCACCAGUUCACCACUGCACUCACCUGUCACCUGCCAAGAAUAAUGUACGCCAGGCGACUUGUACACAGCUGUACCGUCGGCAAUGCAGCAAUGGCUGCGGCCGGAAUCCAUGGGAAACGGAGGAGCUGGUAGUUCCGGUCGGGACGAGACGGCGCGAGGCACG
rnacentral:lncRNA from 1 species